AACGCACAUUGCGCCCGCCAGUACUCUGGCGGGCAUGCCUGUUCGAGCGUCAUUUCAACCCUCAAGCUCUGCUUGGUGUUGGGGAUCGGCGUAGCGCCCUCGGGCGUCGCCGUCCCCUAAAUCUAUUGGCGGUCUCGCUGUAGCUUCCUCUGCGUAGUAGUUUUCUCCUCGCUCUGGAAUCUCAGCGGUGCCCUGCCGUAAAACCCCCAACUUCCGAAAUGUUGACCUCGAAUCAGGUAGGAAUACCCGCUGAACUUAA
rnacentral:misc_RNA from 1 species